rnacentral:lncRNA from 1 species
AGUACCCUCAAGAAAAAGGACAAAAUCACCAACAUCUUCAAUGGGAGAAAAUCCUUUAUCGGCUGAUUCAUUUCCAUGUUUUGUUUCUGCAGGAGACGGGAUAUCCUUUCCAGGUCUUCGGUAAGUGGCAGAAUGAGUGACUAAGAAUGGAGUUCUCAUCUGACAGCGAUCUCUCAUCCCUAUUGUCUCCACCAGCUUCAUCUUGCCAUGUGGGAGCCCAGGAGUGUCUAUCGGCUGUGUAAUCAGGGGUGGGCAGCGAAGACUGCCUUAGGUGCGAAGUUCAAGAAGAACAGGAAUCACAAGAGAGGAUUUCAGAAUCUCAACAGAAAUGUCAGCAGCAUCAGCAACAGAGUAAAGGUGCUUGAUAGCAAGACAGCAAAAGAAAUCGUGGAUGUCGGUUCAGCACCGUGAUGCUCGUACCGUCCACUGGAGCAGUUUGAAGAAAGACUUUCAUUAACAUACUUACACAGCAGUUGGCAUGCUUCCGGUGGCACAAUCAGGAUUCAAGGCAGAGCGCUUAAUGCCAAAGGGUAUUUCAUUGACACUCUCAGCACCAGAAUCUUCAAGGACUUCACCCCAGGCACAACGAUACUGAAGCAAAUGAACGUUUAGAGUGUUCUGAUAAAGAACGAUGGGUUUUUGUUGUUGUUGUUGUUUUGUUUUGUGUUUUUGUUUUGUUUUGUUUUUCCUUUUAAAUUAAACUCUCCAACUCAA